rnacentral:rRNA from 1 species
GAUGAACGCUGGCGGCGUGCCUAAUACAUGCAAGUCGAGCGAACGGACGAGAAGCUUGCUUCUCUUAUGUUAGCGGCGGACGGGUGAGUAACACGUGGAUAACCUACCUAUAAGACUGGGAUAACUUCGGGAAACCGGAGCUAAUACCGGAUAAUAUUUUGAACCGCAUGGUUCAAAAGUGAAAGACGGUCUUGCUGUCACUUAUAGAUGGAUCCGCGCUGCAUUAGCUAGUUGGUAAGGUAACGGCUUACCAAGGCAACGAUGCAUAGCCGACCUGAGAGGGUGAUCGGCCACACUGGAACUGAGACACGGUCCAGACUCCUACGGGAGGCAGCAGUAGGGAAUCUUCCGCAAUGGGCGAAAGCCUGACGGAGCAACGCCGCGUGAGUGAUGAAGGUCUUCGGAUCGUAAAACUCUGUUAUUAGGGAAGAACAGAUGUGUAAGUAACUGUGCACAUCUUGACGGUACCUAAUCAGAAAGCCACGGCUAACUACGUG